UUCACUCUUGUCACCCAGGCUGGAGUGCAAUAGAGCGAUCAUGGCUCACUGCAACCUCUGCCCCCCGGGUUCAAGCGAUUCUCCUGCCUCAGCCUCUCAAGUAGCUGGGAUUACAAGUGCCCACCACCACGCCCAGCUAAUUUUUGUAUUUUUAGUAAAGAUGGGGUUUCACCACAUUGGCCAGGCUGGUCUCUAACUCCUGACCUCACGUGAUUCAUCCAUCUCAGCCUCCCAAAGUGCUGGGAUUACAGGCAUGAGCCACUGUGCCUGGCCUAUACUUAUAUUUUCUUCUGUGAUUUUAAUAUUUUAGUGUUUAUGUUUUGGUCUAUGAUCCAUUUUGAGUAAAUUUUUAUAUUUGGUAUAAGGUAGGGGUCCAACUUUAUUUAUUUUUGAGAUGGAGGCUUACUCUAUUGCCCAGGCAGGCAUGCAAUGGUGCGAUCCAGCUCACUGCAACCUCUGUGUCCCAGGCUCAAGUGAUUCUCCCACCUCAGCCAUCUGAGUAGCUCGGAUUACAGGCCCCAUCACUAUGGUAAUUUUUAAAUUUUUAGUAGAGACGGGGUUUCACCAUGUUGGCCAGGCUGGUCUCGAACUCAUGACCUCAAGUGAUCUGCCCGCCUCUGCCCUACAAAGUGCUGGGAUUACAGGCGUGAGCCACCGUGCCUGGCCUCCAGCUUUAUUCUUUUUUUUUUUUUUUUUUUGAGACAGAGUCUUGUUCUGUCACCCAGGCUGGAGUGCUGGAGUGCAGUGGCGCGAUCUCGGCUCACUGCAAGCUCCGCCUCCUGGGUUCACGCCAUUCUCCUGCCUCAGCCUCCCGAGUAGCUGGGACUACAGGCGCCUGCCACCACGCCUGGCUAAUUUUUUGUAUUUUUAGUAGAGAUGGGGUUUCUCCAUGUUAGCCAGGAUGGUCUCGAUCUCCUGACCUCGUGGUCUGCCUGCCUCGGCCUCCCAAAAGUGCUGGGAUUACAGGCGUGAGCGACCAUGCCCGGCCAACUUUAUUCUUUUAGAUGUGGAUGUCUAGUUGUUCCAGAAGUAUCUGUUAAAAAUGUUACUCUUUCUCCAUUGGAUUAUUUUGGCAACCUUAUAAACAAUCAAUUGACCAUA
rnacentral:lncRNA from 10 species